AAUGAACGCUGGCGGCGCGCCUAAUACAUGCAAGUCGAGCGAGAAGACGUAGCAAUACGUUUGUAAAGCGGCGAACGGGUGAGGAAUACAUGGGUAACCUACCCUAGAGUGGGGAAUAACUAGCCGAAAGGUUAGCUAAUACCGCGUAUGCUCCUUGGACUUCGGUUCAGGGAGGAAAGCGAUGCCGAGGGUAUCGCGCUCUUGGAUGGGCUCAUGUCCUAUCAGCUGUUGGUGAGGUAACGGCUCACCAAGGCUUCGACGGGUAGCUGGUCUGAGAGGACGAUCAGCCACACUGGCACUGCGACACGGGCCAGACUCCUACGGGAGGCAGCAGUAAGGAAUAUUGCGCAAUGGGCGAAAGCCUGACGCAGCGACGCCGCGUGGGGGAUGAAGGUCUUCGGAUU
rnacentral:rRNA from 1 species